ACUGUUUCAGCACUUAAAGAUUUGACUGUUGUUAAUUAAUAAAAUAUUAAUGUUGCACAACUUUCAAUUGCAAUAAAAUAAUAAUAUUUUACAACAAUCCCCCACUUAUUGCAAGAGAAAGUUGAAAGAAAAGAAAAGAAACUUUUUUAUCCUAGGUCUCAUAGGAUGUAAUGCAUCAGAGCUGGUAUAGCAAGCUAUAUGAACCAGUCUUAGAUCAAGAAACUUAACACACAGUGUAGUUGGUGUAGCAAGCUAUAUGAACCAAAGACACUUGACGUGUGUUAGAGGUUUAUCAAUCACAAUACACCCCCACAAUUCUUGCUGUUAUCGCUGUGUUGCGCUAAAUAGGCCAUGCGCGUGCCCGGUAUUCAUGAGUGCUCUAGAGAUCAUGCCAAGAUCUCAUGCAAGCGGCCCCACUUGACACUCAUAUAGGUGAUUUCAUCAAGUGUAUGCUGCAAAUCAUACACCACCCAUAAGGGAUAUGAAA
rnacentral:lncRNA from 1 species